GCUCAAUUUACACUUAAGGUGCCUGACAGUUCCCAUUAUAAGAUCAUGUUUUCAGUUGUUUAUAACUUUGCCAAAGUUGAACCAUU